rnacentral:rRNA from 1 species
GAUUAACGCUGGCGGCGUGCCUAACACAUGCAAGUCGAGCGGCAGCGAGUUUUACACUGAAUUCUGGAAGCUUCUAGUUGAAAGAGAAGAUUUAUUCAAGAAUUUUGUGUAAAAUGUCGGCGAGCGGCGGACGGCUGAGUAACGCGUGGGAACGUACCCCAAAGUGAGGGAUAACGCAUCGAAAGGUGUGCUAAUACCGCAUAUGGUCUUCGGAUUAAAGCCUUCGGGCGCUUUGGGAACGGCCUGCGUAAGAUUAGAUAGUUGGUGGGGUAAUGGCCUACCAAGUCGACGAUCUUUAACUGGUUUGAGAGGAUGAUCAGUCAGACUGGAACUGAGACACGGUCCAGACUCCUACGGGAGGCAGCAGUGAGGAAUCUUCCACAAUGGGCGAAAGCCUGAUGGAGCAACGCCGCGUGCAGGAUGAAGGCCUUCGGGUUGUAAACUGCUUUUAUAAGUGAGGAUUAUGACAGUAACUUAUGAAUAAGGAUCGGCUAACUACGUGCCAGCAGCCGCGGUCAUACGUAGGAUCCGAGCGUUAUCCGGAGUGACUGGGCGUAAAGAGUUGCGUAGGUGGUUCAAUAAGCGAAUAGUGAAAGCUGGUGGCUCAGCCAUUCAGACUAUUAUUCGAACUGUUGAACUCGAGAGCAGAAGAGGUAGCUGGAAUUUCUAGUGUAGGAGUGAAAUCCGUAGAUAUUAGAAGGAACACCGAUGGCGUAGGCAGGCUACUGGGCUGUUUCUGACACUGAGGCACGAAAGCGUGGGGAGCGAACCGGAUUAGAUACCCGGGUAGUCCACGCCGUAAACGAUGGAUACUAGCUGUUUGGGGUAUCGACCCCCUGAGUAGCGAAGCUAACGCGUUAAGUAUCCCGCCUGUGGAGUACGAUCGCAAGAUUAAAACAUAAAGGAAUUGACGGGGACCCGCACAAGCGGUGGAUCAUGUUCUUUAAUUCGAUGAUAACCGAUAAACCUUACCAGGUCUUGACAUCCUUGGAAUCUUUCAGAAAUGAGAGAGUGCUUUUUAAGAGCCAAGUGACAGGUGAUGCAUGGCCGUCGUCAGCUCGUGUCGUGAGAUGUUUGGUUAAGUCCAUCAACGAGCGCAACCCUUGUCAGUAGUUGUAUUUUUCUACUGAGACUGCCCCGGUAACGGGGAGGAAGGAGGGGAUGACGUCAGGUCAGUAUUUCCCUUACGUCCUGGGCUAGAAACGUGAUACAAUGGCUAGUACAAUGCGCAGCGAAGCCGCGAGGUGAAGCAAAUCGCAUCAAAGCUAGUCCCAGUUCGGAUUGUAGGCUGAAACUCGCCUGCAUGAAGUCGGAAUCGCUAGUAAUCGCAGAUCAGCAUGCUGCGGUGAAUACGUUCCCGGGUCU